rnacentral:pre_miRNA from 1 species
AAGCUGCGUUUCGCUUUCUCCCGUGACUUUUAGUAAUUAUUAAAAACUAAGGCACGCGGUGAAUGCCAAACGCUCUUUG